rnacentral:rRNA from 1 species
GGGGAAUAUUGGGCAAUGGGCGCAAGCCUGACCCAGCAACGCCGCGUGGAGGAAGAAGGUUUUCGGAUUGUAAACUCCUGUUGAAGAGGACGAUAAUGACGGUACUCUUUUAGAAAGCUCCGGCUAACUACGUGCCAGCAGCCGCGGUAAUACGUAGGGAGCGAGCGUUGUCCGGAAUUACUGGGUGUAAAGGGAGCGUAGGCGGGAUGGCAAGUCAGAUGUGAAAACUAUGGGCUCAACCCAUAGACUGCAUUUGAAACUGUUGUUCUUGAGUGAGGUAGAGGUAAGCGGAAUUCCUGGUGUAGCGGUGAAAUGCGUAGAUAUUAGGAAGAACACCAGUGGCGAAGGCGAUUUGCUGGACACUAACUGACGCUGAGGCGCGAAAGCGUGGGGAGCAAACAGGAUUAGAUACCCUGGUAGUCCACGCCGUAAACGAUGGAUACUAGGUGUGGGGGGUCUGACCCCCUCCGUGCCGCAGUUAACACAAUAAGUAUCCCACCUGGGGAGUACGAUCGCAAGGUUGAAACUCAAAGGAAUUGACGGGGGCCCGCACAAGCGGUGGAGUAUGUGGUUUAAUUCGAAGCAACGCGAAGAACCUUACCAGGUCUUGACAUCCCGAUGACCGGUGUAGAGAUACACCUUCUCUUCGGAGCAUCGGUGACAGGUGGUGCAUGGUUGUCGUCAGCUCGUGUCGUGAGAUGUUGGGUUAAGUCCCGCAACGAGCGCAACCCUUGUUGCUAGUUGCUACGCAAGAGCACUCUAGCGAUACUGCCGUUGACAAAACGGAGGAAGGUGGGGACGACGUCAAAUCAUCAUGCCCCUUAUGACCUGGGCCACACACGUACUACAAUGGCGGUUAACAGAGGGAAGCAAUACCGCGAGGUGGAGCAAAUCCCUAAAAGCCGUCCCAGUUCGGAUUGCAGGCUGCAACCCGCCUGCAUGAAGUCGGAAUCGCUAGUAAUCGCGGAUCAGCAUGCCGCGGUGAAUACGUUCCCG